GUAUUUCAGGACAAGACGUAAUGGCUUAUCAGCUUUUGGCAAGGUAAUAGGUUUUGGAAAGACUUGGUCCACCAUUCCUUGCUAUCUUGACAUCAGUGUUGAUUUAUUCUUUCAGGAAAACUCUACAAUCAAUAAAAAUAAAAUAAAACAUACUAGAAAAAGUAUCUCAGCCCUUCCAAAGAUGAAGUAUUCACACCAGCUUGAACCCCACCAGUGGCUGCUGAAGUGAGCCAUAUAAACAGAAGAAAUUGGUGACUAUAUCAGCUCCUGUUCUAUAUCCUACUUUCAGAAAACCUACAGGCCCCCUGAGGAUCAUGACUUCAUGAAAAGGCAAUCAAAUGAGACUUUGACAUCUCACAGUCAGGGUGAACUUUUGAA
rnacentral:lncRNA from 1 species